UCUUCAAAAAAAAAAAAAACAAAAAAGCUCUCAAACUCUCCCUUCCCCUCUGGGCUCUGGCCAUCGGCCAUUGUGGCAGUCGCCGGUCAUCAACGACGGCGUCGCCGUCCAUGGUGGUUGGAGGUAAAAAAAGGUCAUUUUUGACCUUUUUAACUUCUAAACCCCCAAAAAAUACCAUCUUUCAUCGGAGAUGGCAACCUCGGCCUAGCCUUAUGACAGCGCGAACGCUUAAAGGUACGGGGCGAGGACGUGGAGGCACGAGGGGCCAGACGCAUGCGAGGAGGCUGGCGUGCGGCGGUGGCAGCUGCUAGGGUUUCAUUCUUCUUUUUGCUGAAAAUUGGUUUAAUUUUGGGCCAUUCGGGCUUAAGUUUUUUUAAUUACUUUGGGCUUGUAAUUUGGGUUUAGUUAGUUUGGGCCUGAUGUAAAUGAACAUUUGGACUGUUUAAUUAUUUUGUUUUAUUUUGGGUUUUUGAUUUUGUCAA